AUUGAACGCUGGCGGCAGGCUUAACACAUGCAAGUCGAGCGGGGAAGAGUAGCUUGCUACUUGACCUAGCGGCGGACGGGUGAGUAAUGCUUAGGAAUCUGCCUAUUAGUGGGGGACAACAUCUCGAAAGGAAUGCUAAUACCGCAUACGUCCUACGGGAGAAAGCAGGGGACCUUCGGGCCUUGCGCUAAUAGAUGAGCCUAAGUCGGAUUAGCUAGUUGGUGGGGUAAAGGCCUACCAAGGCGACGAUAUGUAGCGGGUCUGAGAGGAUGAUCCGCCACACUGGGACUGAGACACGGCCCAGACUCCUACGGGAGGCAGCAGUGGGGAAUAUUGGACAAUGGGGGGAACCCUGAUCCAGCCAUGCCGCGUGUGUGAAGAAGGCCUUUUGGUUGUAAAGCACUUUAAGCGAGGAGGAGGCUACCGAGAUUAAUACUCUUGGAUAGUGGACGUUACUCGCAGAAUAAGCACCGGCUAACUCUGUGCCAGCAGCCGCCGUAACAC
rnacentral:rRNA from 1 species